UACGUAGGGUGCAAGCGUUAAUCGGAAUUACUGGGCGUAAAGCGUGCGCAGGCGGUUUUGUAAGUCAGAUGUGAAAUCCCCGGGCUCAACCUGGGAACGGCAUUGGAGACUGUCAAGCUAGAGUGCGUCAGAGGGGGGUAGAAUUCCACGUGUAGCAGUGAAAUGCGUAGAGAUGUGGAGGAAUACCGAUGGCGAAGGCAGCCCCCUGGGAUGACACUGACGCUGAAGCACGAAAGCGUGGGGAGCAAACAGG
rnacentral:rRNA from 1 species